rnacentral:lncRNA from 1 species
AAUUUAAGUAUUUUUCCCAAUACUGUUUUUAUAAGACGUGAGAUAAAUUGUAACUCUGGAAGGGUUGCGAUCUAUAAAUUAAUUAUAUUAAACGUAACAUCGAUCUUGGUAACUAAAGCACAUGCCUUGCUUUCCCUUUAGGUACGUAGAUCUAUACAAAAAUCCAUGUGGAGAAAUGAAAGAAUAUCCGGAUUUCUGAGGCGUGGAAAAGCUAGAGGUAGAGGAAGUGAGCAUUGUCCUCGUCCAAAUGGUAUCGUCACUGUGACAUCAAACACUCCAGGCCAGUACAGUGUGGGUAACUCAUGUCUUCCCACUCCCAGUACUGUUACUUCUCUGUCACCAGGUACUGCACCCACUUGGUUUUUAUUUUUUUUUUCUUUUAAUUAUCCACUUUUGCUUACUUUCUUUUGUUCUUUCCUAAAAAACCAAGUGAACUAAAUCACGGAAUGUAGCACAAAAGCAUGAAUCCCUCUUUGUUUUCAUUGUUUUCUUAACCUUAACAAUGGCACUUCUUUUUUUGUUUUGCUUCUUAUUUAUUAAUGAACCAAAAAAAAG